rnacentral:rRNA from 1 species
UACGGGGGGAGCAAGCGUUGUUCGGAUUUACUGGGCGUAAAGGGCGCGUAGGCGGCCACCGCAAGUCAAUUGUGAAAUCUCCGGGCUUAACUCGGAAAGGUCAACUGAUACUGCGGGGCUAGAGUGCGGAAGGGGCAACUGGAAUUCUCGGUGUAGCGGUGAAAUGCGUAGAGAUGUGGAGGAACACCGAUGGCGAAGGCAGCCUUCUGGGCCAAUACUGACGCUCAUGCACGAAAGCGUGGGGAGCAAACAGG